GCGGGUGUAGCUCAACGGUAGAGCAUCAGCUUCCCAAGCUGAGGGUUGCGAGUUCGAUCCUCGUCACCCGCUCCA
rnacentral:tRNA from 5 species